GCCUGCAUGAAGUUGGAAUCGCUAGUAAUCGCGGAUCAGCAUGCCGCGGUGAAUACGUUCCCGGGCCUUGUACACACCGCCCGUCACACCAUGAGAGUCGGGAACACCCGAAGUCCGUAGCCUGACCGCAAGGGGGCGCGGCCGAAGGUGGGUUCGAUAAUUGGGGUGAAGUCGUAACAAGGUACC
rnacentral:rRNA from 1 species